UGCAUCGGCCGGGAAUCGAACCCUGGCCGCCCGCGUGGCAGGCAAGCAUUCUAACCACUGAACCACCGAUGC